UGUGUGUGUGCCCUUGGCUGGCCCCUUGUGUAAAAUAAUAAGUAAAUAAAAUUUAUCGACAUUUACCUACUCAUAAUCUUCUAUCUGAUCAUCAGUAUGGCUUCCGUUCUGGUCUCUCUACUGACGAGAUUUUGUUUCCCACUAAUUCUUGGUUAUCCUCUUUAGGUAUGUAGAUUCGGUAAAGUAUUGCUGUUGCUAAGGCUUAGACACACCAAAAGCUUUUGAAAGAGUCUAGCACAAAGCUUUAAUUCAGAAGCUUCCCUCAUACGGUCUCUAUUCAUCUCUACUCCUUUAUCUUAAAUUCCCUUUCCUUUCCAACCACAACAAAUAAAAAUUGAAGACAAAGGGAUAGGAGCAGUUUAAGGAUAUGUAUACUCGUAUUUGGAACAGAUUAUCAAGUUAAACCAAGACCAGUCCAGAGAAAUUAUGUGAAGAAUAGGUAUAUAUGGAUUGGAGUGCAUUCAGAAAAACAAACAAACAAACACUGAAAACAAAACUACUUCUUUCCCUAAAAAGAAAAGUGUACAACCAGUGUGUCUGUCCUGCCAAUAUUAACUUACUGCUGUGAAACUUUGUAUAACAAAAGGUACUGAACGAAAAUUAAGAAGUGCUCAAAGAAGAAUGGAGAGGAUAAUAUUUGGGAUAACUUGGAGACAAGAAAAUGGUCUCCUGGAUAAGAGAACAGACAAAAGUAGAAGAUUUUCUUAGCAUUAUAAAGAAGAAAUUGGCAUGGGCUGGCCAUAUAAUAUACAGAAGAAUUGACAACAGAUGGACCUAAGCAGUAACAGAGAAGGAAUCAAUAGGUGGAACUAGAAAAUGGGUAGACCGAUGACGAGGUGCGAGUCUGACUCAGGCUGCAUAUGAUGAUAAUGAUGAUGACUCAAACUUUCAGAUGUUGAUCCGAACCGGCUUCAGUACAUCUACCAACCGAAGGAAGGAGGUCCAGUGCAGCUGAAAGAUGCCAUACUCACAGAGGAAGAGAAAAGGAAAGUAUUCCAAGAUGUUCAUGACUCCAGUAGAGGAGCUCACAUGGGGAUCAGUAAAACUGUUAAGAAAAUUACUGAAAGGUUUUAUUGGUUAGGAAAUAAAAAAAAUGUCAUGAAGUGGAUAAGAGAGUGUGAUAGGUGUCAAAGAUCUGAAAAAAAUAAAACUGUAGCACCAGUUUUGAAACCUAUUAAGACUGAAGGCCCAUGGCAGAUGAUUGGUGUAGAUUUAAUCGGCCCACUACCUGAAAGUCAAUCUGGCAACAAGUAUGUUUUAACUUUGACGGAUUUAUGGUCAAAAUUUGUAGAAGCAUUCCCUUUGCCUUCAAAAUCUGCUGAUUGUGUUUGUGACAAACUUCUGAGUGUUUUUUACGUUUUGGGCCCCCAGAAAUUUUUUUAACAGACCAGGGAAAAGAAUUCUGUAAUACAUUAAAUGAAUUUUUUUUCCCUUUUCCAAAUUAAGCAUCUUGUAACAUUAGCUUACCACCCCCAAACUAAUGGUCAAAAUGAAAAAAAACAAUCAAACGCUGAAGGGCGUCUUAACUAAAGUAAAUAAAAAUAAAAAUGAUUGGGACCAACACCUAGAACCUGCUUUAUUUGAUAUCAGAACAUCUUUGCAGGCUUCAACAAAGUAUUCACCAUUUUUUUUGAUGUUUGGUAGACAGCCAAGACUGUUUAUUGAACUUCAAUGAAAUGAUAUCGAGGAAGCUGACGCCUUAGAAAUUCCAAAUUUAAAUCCUUCAGAUGAGUCAAUAAAGUCAAGUUAGCUACAUGAAAACUAUUAAAGAAAAAGUGGACUCCAAUAUCCCUAUAGCACAAGCUAAACAAAAGAAAUAUUAUGACAUGAAAAAGGCUAAAGGUUGUAAAUCAUUUGAUUUUGAAAUUGGAAUGAAAGUUCUUGUAAAAAAUAAUAGAAAACAAGGAAGAAAAGGCUCCCAGCUAGAGGAAAAUUGGCUUGGCCCUUAUGACAUACACAGCAUCUUAGAUAACUGUGUAAAAGUCAGUAAAAAUGGAAAGGUUCUUGAAAAAGAAAUUGCAUUAGUUCAUAUCAAACCUUAUAAAUCCUCCAGGAGUCCACAGAAACCUGCACAACCUUCUAGCCAAAUAAAGCCCCCAUCCACAGCAGUAACUGCUUCUGGUGUUUCUCUCUUUUCAGAGUCAUCAGCACCUGGAGAAGACCCUCAAAGUGACACCUCCUCAACUCAAGACCUUGUUGAUGUGAGGCAACAGUCUGACAUGCUCCUAUCCAAAGGAUCACAGCAUGUAGCUGCACUGCCCAUCAGCAUUGUCGAAUCCACGGCACAUGAGGAGGAGGUCAGAGGUGUCACCCCAACUCAAGACUGUGUUGAUGUGAGGCAUCCAUCCGACAUGCUGGUAUCCAAAGGAUCACAGCAUGUCGCUGCACUGCCCGUCAGCAUUGUCAAAUCCACGGCACAUGAGGAGGAGGUCAGAGGUGUCACCCCAACUCAAGACUGUGUUGAUGUGAGGCAUCCAUCCAACAUGCUGGUAUCCAAAGGAUCACAGCAUGUCGCUGCACUGCCCGUCGGCAUUGUCGGUUUUGGGGAUUUUCCGAGGAACAGUGCUUCAUGAAAAUCAUCAGAGCUCAGAGUUGACUCCUCCACAUGAAGAACUGAGCUUAACGCCCCAUCUGUAGGAGAUUUAGGGAACUGGAACACUAGCCUCCCUUUCUC